rnacentral:rRNA from 1 species
UACGUAGGGGGCAAGCGUUGUCCGGAUUUAUUGGGCGUAAAGAGCGUGUAGGCGGCUAGAUAGGUCCGUUGUGAAAACUCGAGGCUCAACCUCGAGACGUCGAUGGAAACCAUCUGGCUAGAGUCCGGAAGAGGAGAGUGGAAUUCCUAGUGUAGCGGUGAAAUGCGCAGAUAUCAGGAAGAACACCCGUGGCGAAGGCGGCUCACUGGACCGGUACUGACGCUGAUGCGCGAAAGCGUGGGGAGCAAACGGG